GACGAACGCUGGCGGCGUGCUUAACACAUGCAAGUCGAGCGGUAAGGCCCUUUCGGGGGUACACGAGCGGCGAACGGGUGAGUAACACGUGGGUGACCUGCCCUCAGCUCUGGGAUAAGCCUGGGAAACUGGGUCUAAUACUGGAUAUGACUCCACGGUGCAUGUCGUGGGGUGGAAAGCCUUGUGCGGCUGAGGAUGGGCCCGCGGCCUAUCAGCUUGUUGGUGGGGGAUGGCCUACCAAGGCGACGACGGGUAGCCGGCCUGAGAGGGCGACCGGCCACACUGGGACUGAGACACGGCCCAGACUCCUACGGGAGGCAGCAGUGGGGAAUCUUGCGCAAUGGGCGAAAGCCUGACGCAGCGGCGCCGCGUGGGGAUGACGGCCU
rnacentral:rRNA from 1 species